rnacentral:lncRNA from 1 species
AAGUUUCCACGUUGCCACAUAACCGCGGGCACGGCUUUCCGAAAGAUUUAACCCUGCAGGGGUGCCCCAACUAGUCCAUCACAAAUUACCACAAGCCGCAUAGAAAUCCUCGAUCACGAAGCUCGCGAUCUCGUCGGAUUCCCUAGUGGAAAACCUCAACUCUGAGAUUACCCAAAGCAUCACCGGAAUCCCGAUGCACAAGAUAUCU